ensembl:lncRNA
GAUUAAAUGGGAUCUGUUCAAUCAGACAGGCAGCACCACGGUGCCCAACCCACACUCUAAGCUUGUCUUUCGCUUCUCAGCUGGAAGUGGAAGUGCAGUUCUGAUAGUUUGGGACCAUGGUACGGCUGCCAUUGUUUCACCAUCCUCCAACAGCUAUAGUUCAGUGUUAAUACUUACCCAGUAAACUAUCCUUUCGUAGCUGCUUUUAUUUCAGACAGAAGCAAAGGUGUAGCACUGCUCCUCAGGUUCAGGAAAGAUGAAGGAGCUGACCCAGAUGCCACAUCCAGAUCUCUAAGUUGAAACUGGAAUUCAGAGUUGCAGCAUCACGAGCCAAGGUACGACACGAAUGUCAGCAAUGUGGCUCUCCUUUAAGUCAAAACCUAUUUCAUGCUGUUUGCAGUGAGGAAAUGUACCUUCAGCCCUCUGGCUGUCCGGAUUGAGAGCAGACAUGUGCAAAAUAUUAUAGUUUAUAAGGCCUGUGAACUCAGCGUACUUCAAGAUCAAAUUCCCAUUACAGUGAAAUCAUUGGCAAAACCGUGGUUACCUCCAGGCAGCCUGGAUCAGACGCAGGGAAAAAGCGGAACCGACCAAAGCAACCCCAAAUCCCACAGCAAAAGCAUCUUUUCUUGCAAAACUGUUUAAACAGCCAAACUUGCUGAUCUCAGCUGUGACCUCGGAGAGGCCGUACCCUUCCUCCAGCAGCAUGAUGGAUCUCAGGACCCAACGGGUCUUUUCUGCAUCGACGUGCUUUGGGCUGCCCCUUUCUUUCAGUAAUGAGGCAGGUCAGAGGGGAGAGCACGAAGUUGGAUUCAUCUCCUACCGCUCUGAAAAUGAAGCAAAGAAGCGUUAUGUGCUUCUGAUCCAUUAGAAAAUACAUAUACGGAGG